rnacentral:rRNA from 1 species
CGAGCGAACAGAUAAGGAGCUUGCUCCUUUGACGUUAGCGGCGGACGGGUGAGUAACACGUGGGUAACCUACCUAUAAGACUGGGAUAACUUCGGGAAACCGGAGCUAAUACCGGAUAACAUUUGGAACCGCAUGGUUCUAAAGUGAAAGAUGGUUUUGCUAUCACUUAUAGAUGGACCCGCGCCGUAUUAGCUAGUUGGUAAGGUAACGGCUUACCAAGGCGACGAUACGUAGCCGACCUGAGAGGGUGAUCGGCCACACUGGAACUGAGACACGGUCCAGACUCCUACGGGAGGCAGCAGUAGGGAAUCUUCCGCAAUGGGCGAAAGCCUGACGGAGCAACGCCGCGUGAGUGAUGAAGGGUUUCGGCUCGUAAAACUCUGUUAUUAGGGAAGAACAAAUGUGUAAGUAACUGUGCACGUCUUGACGGUACCUAAUCAGAAAGCCACGGCUAACUACGUGCCAGCAGCCGCGGUAAUACGUAGGUGGCAAGCGUUAUCCGGAAUUAUUGGGCGUAAAGCGCGCGUAGGCGGUUUCUUAAGUCUGAUGUGAAAGCCCACGGCUCAACCGUGGAGGGUCAUUGGAAACUGGGAAACUUGAGUGCAGAAGAGGAAAGUGGAAUUCCAUGUGUAGCGGUGAAAUGCGCAGAGAUAUGGAGGAACACCAGUGGCGAAGGCGACUUUCUGGUCUGUAACUGACGCUGAUGUGCGAAAGCGUGGGGAUCAAACAGGAUUAGAUACCCUGGUAGUCCACGCCGUAAACGAUGAGUGCUAAGUGUUAGGGGGUUUCCGCCCCUUAGUGCUGCAGCUAACGCAUUAAGCACUCCGCCUGGGGAGUACGACCGCAAGGUUGAAACUCAAAGGAAUUGACGGGGACCCGCACAAGCGGUGGAGCAUGUGGUUUAAUUCGAAGCAACGCGAAGAACCUUACCAAAUCUUGACAUCCUUUGAAAACUCUAGAGAUAGAGCUUUCCCCUUCGGGGGACAAAGUGACAGGUGGUGCAUGGUUGUCGUCAGCUCGUGUCGUGAGAUGUUGGGUUAAGUCCCGCAACGAGCGCAACCCUUAAGCUUAGUUGCCAUCAUUAAGUUGGGCACUCUAGGUUGACUGCCGGUGACAAACCGGAGGAAGGUGGGGAUGACGUCAAAUCAUCAUGCCCCUUAUGAUUUGGGCUACACACGUGCUACAAUGGACAAUACAAAGGGCAGCUAAACCGCGAGGUCAUGCAAAUCCCAUAAAGUUGUUCUCAGUUCGGAUUGUAGUCUGCAACUCGACUACAUGAAGCUGGAAUCGCUAGUAAUCGUAGAUCAGCAUGCUACGGUGAAUACGUUCCCGGGUCUUGUACACACCGCCCGUCACACCACGAGAGUUUGUAACACCCGAAGCCGGUGGAGUAACCAUUUAUGGAGCUA